AGAGUUUGAUCMSNSUGGCUCAGGACGAACGCUGGCGGCGUGCCUAAUACAUGCAAGUCGAGCGGAUCUUGCCUUCGGGUAAGGUUAGCGGCGGACGGGUGAGUAACACGUGGGUAACCUGCCCAUAAGACUGGGAUAACAUUCGGAAACGAAUGCUAAUACCGGAUACGCGARKCGGUCGCAUGAUCGAAUCGGGAAAGGCGGAGCAAUCUGCCACUUAUGGAUGGACCCGCGGCGCAUUAGCUAGUUGGUGGGGUAACGGCUCACCAAGGCGACGAUGCGUAGCCGACCUGAGAGGGUGAUCGGCCACACUGGGACUGAGACACGGCCCAGRCUCCUACGGGAGGCAGCAGUAGGGAAUCUUCCGYAAUGGACGAAAGUCUGACGGAGCAACGCCGCGUGAGUGAUGAAGGUUUUCGGAUCGUAAAGCUCUGUUGCCAGGGAAGAACGCUURCGAGAGUAACUGCUCGCAAGGUGACGGUACCUGAGAAGAAAGCCCCGGCUAACUACGUGCCAGCAGCCGCGGUAAUACGUAGGKGGCAAGCGUUGUCCGGAAUUAUUGGGCGUAAAGCGCGCGCAGGUGGUUUCUUAAGUCUGAUGUGAAAGCCCACGGCUCAACCGUGGAGGGUCAUUGGAAACUGGGAGACUUGAGUGCAGAAGAGGAUAGUGGAAUUCCAAGUGUAGCGGUGAAAUGCGUAGAGAUUUGGAGGAACACCAGUGGCGAAGGCGACUAUCUGGUCUGUAACUGACACUGAGGCGCGAAAGCGUGGGGAGCAAACAGGAUUAGAUACCCCUGGUAGU
rnacentral:rRNA from 1 species